rnacentral:rRNA from 1 species
AUUGAACGCUGGCGGCAUGCUUUACACAUGCAAGUCGAACGGUAACAGGCCGCAAGGUGCUGACGAGUGGCGAACGGGUGAGUAAUGCAUCGGAACGUGCCCAGUCGUGGGGGAUAACGCAGCGAAAGCUGCGCUAAUACCGCAUACGAUCUAUGGAUGAAAGCGGGGGACCGUAAGGCCUCGCGCGAUUGGAGCGGCCGAUGUCAGAUUAGGUAGUUGGUGAGGUAAAGGCUCACCAAGCCAACGAUCUGUAGCUGGUCUGAGAGGACGACCAGCCACACUGGGACUGAGACACGGCCCAGACUCCUACGGGAGGCAGCAGUGGGGAAUUUUGGACAAUGGGCGCAAGCCUGAUCCAGCAAUGCCGCGUGCAGGAAGAAGGCCUUCGGGUUGAAAACUGCUUUUGUACGGAACGAAACGGUCCGGGCUAAUACCCUGGGCUAAUGACGGUACCGUAAGAAUAAGCACCGGCUAACUACGUGCCAGCAGCCGCGGUAA